ensembl:snRNA U7 U7 small nuclear RNA
CAGUGUUACAGCUCUUUUAGAAUUUGUCUAGCAAAUUUUCUGGUGAAGACCAGAAAACCCCU